rnacentral:lncRNA from 1 species
GCAAAAAAUAUGGUGUAUAUGCUAGAUCAAUCUCGGACUGGAGUACAGCAUUGUUUUGGCUUAUCAUGGGCUGAACCAUGACAGUGACUAAUUCUACAAAAAAAUUGAGUAUUAUCGAUGGCUAAUUGCCAUCACUAAUAGUCGGUUUGCUAUUGCUAAUACUAUUAGCAAUGACUUCUCAUCGCUAAAAAUCCAAUGAAAAUAUCC